UACGUAGGGGGCUAGCGUUGUCCGGAAUCAUUGGGCGUAAAGCGCGUGUAGGCGGUUCGGUAAGUCCGCUGUGAAAGUCGGGGCUCAACCCUCGGAUGCCGGUGGAUACUGUCGGACUAGAGUACGGAAGAGGAGUGUGGAAUUCCUGGUGUAGCGGUGAAAUGCGCAGAUAUCAGGAAGAACACCUAUGGCGAAGGCGGCUCUCUGGGACGGUACUGACGCUGAGACGCGAAAGCGUGGGGAGCGAACAGG
rnacentral:rRNA from 1 species